AUGGCUUAUUCCAGAGUUGCCUGAAGCCUU
rnacentral:piRNA from 1 species